ACUUUCUGACUCAUGGCAAUAAACGUGUUCAAGUUCUUGGAUACAUUUGUAUGGUCUUUUCUCUAUCUGUUUUUGUUGCUCCCCUUGGCAUCAUUAGGAAAGUGAUCAAAACGAAGAGUGCCGAGUUCAUGCCGUUCGGUCUCUCCUUCUUCCUAACCUUAUCAGCUAUCAUGUGGUUUUUCUACGGGCUUCUCCUUAAAGACAAGAACAUUGCCCUGCCAAAUGUUUUGGGUUUCAUCUUUGGAGUGCUUCAGAUGAUACUUUUCGUGAUU